GUAUAAGCAAUUUAUACAGUGAAACUGCGAAUGGCUCAUUAAAUCAGUUAUCGUUUAUUUGAUAGUUCCUUUACUACAUGGUAUAACUGUGGUAAUUCUAGAGCUAAUACAUGCUUAAAAUCUCGACCCUUUGGAAGAGAUGUAUUUAUUAGAUAAAAAAUCAAUGUCUUCGGACUCUUUGAUGAUUCAUAAUAACUUUUCGAAUCGCAUGGCCUUGUGCUGGCGAUGGUUCAUUCAAAUUUCUGCCCUAUCAACUUUCGAUGGUAGGAUAGUGGCCUACCAUGGUUUCAACGGGUAACGGGGAAUAAGGGUUCGAUUCCGGAGAGGGAGCCUGAGAAACGGCUACCACAUCCAAGGAAGGCAGCAGGCGCGCAAAUUACCCAAUCCUAAUUCAGGGAGGUAGUGACAAUAAAUAACGAUACAGGGCCCAUUCGGGUCUUGUAAUUGGAAUGAGUACAAUGUAAAUACCUUAACGAGGAACAAUUGGAGGGCAAGUCUGGUGCCAGCAGCCGCGGUAAUUCCAGCUCCAAUAGCGUAUAUUAAAGUUGUUGCAGUUAAAAAGCUCGUAGUUGAACUUUGGGCCCGGUUGGCCGGUCCGAUUUUUUCGUGUACUGGAUUUCCAACGGGGCCUUUCCUUCUGGCUAACCUUGAGUCCUUGUGGCUCUUGGCGAACCAGGACUUUUACUUUGAAAAAAUUAGAGUGUUCAAAGCAGGCGUAUUGCUCGAAUAUAUUAGCAUGGAAUAAUAGAAUAGGACGUUUGGUUCUAUUUUGUUGGUUUCUAGGACCAUCGUAAUGAUUAAUAGGGACGGUCGGGGGCAUCAGUAUUCAAUUGUCAGAGGUGAAAUUCUUGGAUUUAUUGAAGACUAACUACUGCGAAAGCAUUUGCCAAGGACGUUUUCAUUAAUCAAGAACGAAAGUUAGGGGAUCGAAGAUGAUCAGAUACCGUCGUAGUCUUAACCAUAAACUAUGCCGACUAGGGAUCGGGUGGUGUUUUUUUAAUGACCCACUCGGCACCUUACGAGAAAUCAAAGUCUUUGGGUUCUGGGGG
rnacentral:rRNA from 1 species